rnacentral:tRNA from 1 species
AAGAUUUUAAGUUAUAAUUAAACUCUUAGCCUUCAAAGUUAAAUAAACUUUGAAUAGUAAAUCUUA